rnacentral:lncRNA from 1 species
UUCCAUCAAUCGAUUUAGUAUCAAAUUAGUUCAUAUUCCACUCUAUUUGAAUAGAGUUAUUGAAAGCUAAAAUCACUACGUCUUAGAUAUGAUUAAGAACUUGCACAAUUGUAUUGAACAGAAGUCCGAAUUCUGUCAUUAACUCCUUGAAUAUAAUUACACAGACCAGUACAGUUACCAUCACAAUCCAAAGUCAAUUCCCAGCAAAGUAACCUAAAAAGAAGCAUCAAUGUCCUAAAGUUUCUUAUCAUGUCAAAUUCCUUUGGCACAGCUAAUUUGUCUUGCCAUUGCAGAUAAAGAAAGUAAUGAAAACAAGAAAGCAUUGAUGCAGGGGAUGGAUUAAUGUGGACAUGAUCAUGGUUUUAGAGUCUUUAGACGGAGAUUUGGGCAGAGAGUAUUGCAAUGAGCUUUCGUCUUCCAUAUGCAUAUUAAUACAGCACAAAGACUUGUGGUUUCGGACAGGCCCAUCUUUGUGCAUGCAGCUCUUCUUGAAGGAAUCCACUUCUAUUUCAUUACAUUGGAACUAUCUAACUACAGAAGCACGGGGUGUGUUCAUUUUUUAAUGAAAGAUAACAUAGAGAAAAUGAAUUCUACAUUUUGAAGCAAUAGAAGACUUCUAAACCAAAGAGAUCAG